CCGGUCGAAUAGGUACAUUUUGCCGCCGGACCGGUGGGUGUGCGUUAAGCCUCUUUAUUGCUUUCUUCCUCCAUUCGAUCGCUUCCCGAUCUCGUCGCCAUUUUCCUCGGAGUGAAACGAUCGAUCCGAAAAGGUGACGAGGAGGAGAUUGAGACUGGAGAUUGAUGGAGGUGGAGCCGCCGGGGCCGCUGCGGUAUCUGAUUGGGGCGGCGAUCAUGAUGGUCGGCGUGGUACUUCCGCUCGGGUACAUGAUGUUCCGCAUCAAGCGCGUCCCCUCGUCCGCCUCGACCUACUCCAAACAGACGUCUAAAGGGCUGAUCUAGGGAUCGUUCACAGCUCCUCUGCUGCCAUCUCUUUACGGUGGUGGAGAAAUUACUGGAGGAAUGAUUGAAAUUUGUACACAGAAUGAAUGACUUUCCAGUAUCUCUCUGUCACUACUGAAAAAGAUGAGGAACACUAUACUUCUGAAGACAAAGCAGCAUGACGACUAUGACCGAGAAGGGAUAUUGUGAUUCAACAAGUCUAUGCAAACUACUAAUCCUGCUUGUUUCUAAAUUGCAAACCCUUAGACAUUCUUUCAUCAUGAAUUGCAGCGAACUUCAUGAUAAUUAUUUUACAUAUGCAGUUUUGACCGAUGA